UUGGGGGGAAAAGAAACCAACCGGGAUUGCCUUAGUAACGGCGAGUGAAGCGGCAAAAGCUCAAAUUUGAAAUCUGGUACCUUCGGUGCCCGAGUUGUAAUUUGGAGAGGGCAACUUUGGGGCCGUUCCUUGUCUAUGUUCCUUGGAACAGGACGUCAUAGAGGGUGAGAAUCCCGUGUGGCGAGGAGUGCGGUUCUUUGUAAAGUGCCUUCGAAGAGUCGAGUUGUUUGGGAAUGCAGCUCUAAGUGGGUGGUAAAUUCCAUCUAAAGCUAAAUAUUGGCGAGAGACCGAUAGCGAACAAGUACAGUGAUGGAAAGAUGAAAAGAACUUUGAAAAGAGAGUGAAAAAGUACGUGAAAUUGUUGAAAGGGAAGGGCAUUUGAUCAGACAUGGUGUUUUGUGCCCUCUGCUCCUUGUGGGUAGGGGAAUCUCGCAUUUCACUGGGCCAGCAUCAGUUUUGGUGGCAGGAUAAAUCCAUAGGAAUGUAGCUUGCCUCGGUAAGUAUUAUAGCCUGUGGGAAUACUGCCAGCUGGGACUGAGGACUGCGACGUAAGUCAAGGAUGCGGC
rnacentral:rRNA from 1 species